GUCCACGCCGUAAACGAUGGGCACUAGGCGUCGGGGGGAGCGACCCUCCCGGUGCCGUCGCUAACGCAGUAAGUGCCCCGCCUGGGGAGUACGGCCGCAAGGCUGAAACUCAAAAGGAAUUGACGGGGGCCCGCACAAGCGGUGGAGCAUGUGGUUUAAUUCGAAGCAACGCGAAGAACCUUACCUGGGCUUGACAUGCUGGUGUAAGCCGGUGGAAACAUCGGCCCCUCUUCGGAGCGCCAGCACAGGUGCUGCAUGGCUGUCGU
rnacentral:rRNA from 1 species